GAGUUGUUGCCCGCUCUUCUGAAAAAAGUUUUUUCUUUAAAAAAAUCUUUUUUCAGCUGUAUUGUGAAAGAGUGUUAUUGGUUAUUUGUUUUGAAAAAGAAGGGAUGUUUUGUAGUGGAUGAGGUUUGUUCUCUUACUUUUUGUAUCAUGGCGUGUAGAGGGUUUUAGUUUUAUUCUAGCUCCUGAAAGCCUUAGAGCCACCCCGCUUAAUGUGUGUGUUGUUGAAUUACUGUUUCUAAGGGCGGGGUAGUUGUGACAUGUUUGUCGAAAAGGUUGAUAGCUGGUUAGGGGGGAAACAUAUGUGAGUAUGGGUGUUCAUUAAAGCCGUGGGUGGUAUUUAUUAAAUUAACCAUUGGCCCGUGGGUAGCCAGCCUUCCAGGGUUAAUCUUGGUAGGAAUAGGUGUUAGUUCUAUUAGGUUAAAGAGUUUAGUAGAGUUAGAAUUUCUUAUCUUUUGGAUUUUUUUCUAAAUUAACUUUUUUUUUUUUUCAUUAAAGUACCCCCUCUCCUAUUAUAUAUUUUAUUUAGGGGAUUAGUAUGCGAUUAGUAUGUGAGAGAAGUGGUAUGUAGAGUGGUUUGGAGUCUUGAGAUAAAAUUGAUUAGUGUGAUGUUGGUUUCGAAAAAAGAAAGUUUGAGUGUUAAGUGUUAUGUGGUUGUAAGGAACUAGGCAAAUAUUAUCUCCGCCUGUUUAUUAAAAACAUGGCUUUUAGGGGGACUAGUAUUAAAAGUCGGGCCUGCCCGGUGGGUUGUUUAAACGGUUGCCAUUGGUGGUGGUACUAAGGUAGCGUAAUGAUUUGUCCUUUGAUUGGGGAACGGUAUGAAUGGUUUGACGUGAGGUGUUCUGUCUCACAGUUAGUGCUUGAAGUUUUCUUUUGGGUGAAAAGACUCAAGUUUUUUUAAAAGACGAGAAGACCCCGUCGAGCUUGUUAAGACUUCUGGCUUAUUGGAAGGAGUGUAUUUUUUGUUGGGGCAACAGGAAGAAAAAUUAACUCUUCUUAGUAGUUAUGGAUCCCCUUUUAGGGAAAAGAAGAAAAAGCUACCGCGGGGAUAACAGCGUAAUUUUCUUGAAGAGGACUUAUCAGAAAGAAAGGUUGCGACCUCGAUGUUGAAUUAGGGUGUAAUCCGGGCGCAGUAGCUUGGAUAGUAGGCCUGUUCGUCCUUUAAAACCUUACAUGAUUUGAGUUUAAAUCGGCGUGAGCUAGGUUGGUUUCUAUCUUUAUUUUUGUCUUUCUAUGUACGAAAGGACCAGGGAGUCGGUAGUUUUAUCUUUUUUAGUGUG
rnacentral:rRNA from 1 species